CCUACGGGAGACAGCAGUGGGGAAUAUUGCACAAUGGGGGAAACCCUGAUGCAGCGACGCCGCGUGAGUGAAGAAGUAUUUCGGUAUGUAAAGCUCUAUCAGCAGGGAAGAAGAAAGACGGUACCUGACUAAGAAGCCCCGGCUAACUACGUGCCAGCAGCCGCGGUAAUACGUAGGGGGCAAGCGUUAUCCGGAUGUACUGGGUGUAACGGGAGCGUAGACGGCUGUGCAAGUCUGAAGUGAAAGCCCAGGGCGCAACCCUGGGACUGCUUUGGAAACUGUGGAGCUAGAGUGCUGGAGAGGUAAGUGGAAUUCCUAGUGGAGCGGUGAAAUGCGUAGAUAUUAGGAGGAACACCAGUGGCGAAGGCGGCUUACUGGACAGUAACUGACGUUGAGGCUCGAAGGCGUGGGGAGCAAACAGGAUUAGAUACCCGGGUAGUC
rnacentral:rRNA from 1 species